CACACCACUGUCCGCCAAAUAACUACGAGUACAAACUUAAAAUUUAAAGGACUUGACGGUAUUUCACACCCAGCCUAGAGGAGCCUGUCUACUAACCGAUAACCCACGAUUAACCCAACCAUUUCUAGCCCCCAGCCUAUAUACCACCGUCGCCAGCUUACCUUACAAAAGAAAUGAUAGUAAGCUAAACAGUAAUACACUAGAACGACAGGUCAAGGUGUAGCUAAUGAAACGGACUAAGAUGGGCUACAUUUUCUAACCCAGAUUAUACGAACCAGGUCAUGAAACAAACCUUCGAAGGCGGAUUUAGCAGUAAGCUGAGAACACAACACUCAACUGAAACCAAUGCAAUGAAAUGCGUACACACCGCCCGUCAUCCCUGUUACACAACCAACCAAAAACAUAUAAAAUAAACCUAUAAUCAAAACAGGGCAAGUCGUAACA
rnacentral:rRNA from 1 species